UCGCACGAGAAAGCGGGGAGCAAUCCUCGCAAGUACAGUGGCGUACGGGUGAGUAACACGUGGGUGAUCUACCCUUUAGUGGGGAAUAACGCUGGGAAACCGGCGCUAAUACCGCAUAAGCCUGGUCUUUCGCUAGAGCAGGGAAAGCAGCAAUGCGCUGAAGGAGGAGCCCGCGGCCGAUUAGCCAGUUGGUGAGGUAAAGGCUCACCAAAGCAUAGAUCGGUAGCCGGCCUGAGAGGGCACACGGCCACACUGGCACUGAAACACGGGCCAGACUCCUACGGGAGGCAGCAGUGGGGAAUCUUGCACAAUGGGGGAAACCCUGAUGCAGCGACGCCGCGUGAACGAUGAAGCCCUUCGGGGUGUAAAGCUCUUUCGGCAGGGAAGAUGAUGACGGUACCUGCAGAAGCAGCUGCGGCUAACUACGUGCCAGCAGCCGCGGUAAUACGUAGGCAGCGAGCGUUGUUCGGAGUUACUGGGCGUAAAGGGUGUGUAGGCGGCUUUCUAAGUUUGGUGUGAAAUCUCCCGGCUCAACCGGGAGGGUGCGCCGAAAACUGGGAGGCUAGAGUGCGGGAAGGGAGAGUAGAAUUCCUGGUGUAGCGGUGAAAUGCGUAGAUAUCAGGAGGAAUACCGGUGGUGCAGACGGCUCUCUGGACCGCAACUGACGCUGAGACACGAAAGCGUGGGUAGCAAACAGGAUUAGAUACCCUGGUAGUCCACGCCCUAAACGAUGCAUAUUUGGUGUAGGUCAUUCAGUUGAUCUGUGCCGGAGCUAACGCGU
rnacentral:rRNA from 1 species